GAUGAAGAACGUAGCGAAAUGCGAUAAGUAAUGUGAAUUGCAGAAUUCAGUGAAUCAUCGAAUCUUUGAACGCACCUUGCACUCCUUGGUAUUCCGAGGAGUACGCCUGUUCGAGUGUUAUGAAGCUCUCAAAACGCAAUUGGCUUAAAACCUGAUUGUUGUUUUGGAUUUGAACUUUGCCGUGUUAUAACGGCUGGUUUUAAAAGUAUUAGCUGGUACUAGAACGAAUUGGUUCUACUCAACGUGAUAAUUAUCUGAUCGUUGAGGACAUUCCUUUCACGAGGAAUGGCCAUAGUAAAUUCAAUGGACUGCUUCUAAUCUGGCUUUAAUUCUUUAUUGGAUUAACCACUUUUCAAAUCUGACCUCGAAUCAGGUGGGACUACCCGCUGAACUUAAGCAUAUCAAAAGCGGAGGA
rnacentral:misc_RNA from 1 species